rnacentral:rRNA from 1 species
GAUGAACGCUGGCGGCGUGCCUAACACAUGCAAGUCGAACGAAGCAUGCUCCUUCGGGGGUAUGACUGAGUGGCGGACGGGUGAGUAACGCGUGGGUAACCUGCCCUCUACAGGGGGACAACAGUUAGAAAUGACUGCUAAUACCGCAUGAGCGCACAGGGAGGCAUCUCCCGGUGUGAAAAACUAUCGGUGGUAGAGGAUGGGCCCGCGUCUGAUUAGCUAGUUGGCGGGGUAAAGGCCCACCAAGGCGACGAUCAGUAGCCGGUCUGAGAGGAUGAACGGCCACAUUGGAACUGAGACACGGUCCAAACUCC